AUGUUGGUUCGCUUUGAUAUGUCCGAAUAUGUUGAGGCCCAUUCUGUGUCGCGUCUCAUUGGAGCACCGCCAAGUUACGUUGGGCAUGAAAAUGGUGGACAACUGACUGAGAAAGUGAGGAAACAUCCAUAUAGUGUCAUCCUUUUGGAUGAGGUGGAGAAGGCACACCCUUCGGUGUUUAAUGUUUUCCACCAGGUCCUUGAUGAUGGCAUGUUGACCGAUGGCUUAGGCCGGACAGUAGAUUUCAAGAACACCAUCAUUAUCAUGACCUCAAAUCUGGGAGCCGGGCACCUAUCAACAGGAAUGGCAAACAAAAAGGAAACGAAAGGCCUUCUCAUGAAACAGGUUGAGAAAUAUUUCAAGCCCGAAUUCCUCAACAGAUUAAGUGAGAUUGUGAUAUUCGAGCCCCUUCUGCAAGAGAAGUUGAAGGAGAUCGUGAAAAUUCAAAUAAAAAAAGUCGUUGCUGGUGUCGCUUGUAAGGGUAUCUCUUUAUCUGCAACUGAUGUCGCACUAGAUGUCAUCCUAGCGGAAUCAUACAAUCCAAUGUACGGCGCUAGGCCAAUAAGAAGAUGGGUGCAAAAGAAUGUGAUCACCAAGCUCUCGGAGCUCCUAGUCCAUGAAGAAGCUGGUGAAGGCUCAGCGAUCCAUAUUGAUGCUAUGGGCGACAAGGGUCUGAAGUAUGAAGUGGUGAAGAAGGCGACGGUGGACCCGCAAGAAGAUAAAGAUGUAAACCAUAGGCGGUGGCUAAAGAGACAAAGGGGUUUGCUUAGCAGUGGCAUGAAGCCGAAUAGGCUGUCUAAGAAAAGAGCUAAGAAAAGAGCUCAAGAAAAGAGCUAA
rnacentral:rRNA from 1 species